UACGGAGGAUUCAAGCGUUAUCCGGAUUUAUUGGGUUUAAAGGGUGCGUAGGCGGUCGGAUAAGUUAGAGGUGAAAUCCCGGGGCUCAACUUCGGAAUUACCUCUGAUACUGUUCGGCUAGAGAGUAGUUGCGGUAGGCGGAAUGUAUGGUGUAGCGGUGAAAUGCUUAGAGAUCAUACAGAACACCGAUUGCGAAGGCAGCUUACCAAGCUACUUCUGACGUUGAGGCACGAAAGCGUGGGGAGCAAACAGG
rnacentral:rRNA from 1 species